UCAGAGGAGAGACGAGGGGGAGCGGGCCCGCGGACAUUUUCGUUGUUUUUGGCUAUUCCUGUUUGCUGCUUGUAGCUUUUUUGAGCUCUCUUUAAGGUUUAGCUGUGUGACACCCGUCUCCUGCCAUGGGAUUCUUUUUUUUGCUGUCUCAUUCCAGUUUGAAAUCCAUUUAUUUUUAAGGAAUCCGCCCUCCCCCACCCGCACCCCCAUAGCUACGGGAGAGAGGAAAGAGCCCUGAGGUCAAGGGUCAGGCACCCAAGUUUCAGACUUUGAUUGGCACUUAAUGAACAGAGAGCCUCCGCCAGCUGUCCUGACUGAGGUGUAGUGACAGUGGAAGGGAAUGAUGCAGAAACAUUGGCAGAAGGAAGUGGAUUAGUCGUGUUGGUGAAACCCGCGGUCGAGUUUUUACUUCCUGAAGCUUUAGCUGUUCAUUGUUAAGGUCUUUCAGAAGCGCUGACGCGGGAUACCGUGGCAGGUGCAGAACACCUCAACACCCAGAAAAACGGUCUUCACUCUAAAGCCUUACAGUGUAACUGGGAAGAGAGACGCCCAAACAUAAUCAGAGGUCAAGUGUCCUUGGAUAACAGGAAUGUGAGUCACAGAACUACUGACUUCCUCAGGAUUAGGGGGUGGGCGUGCAGAAUAAUGACCCCAAAAUGUGCCAUUUUGGUGUGGGGAGUAUUUAUAGCUGAAGACAGUCGGGGCGCAACAGGCUCAGAAGAGCUGUUCACCUUCCGCGUAACUUCCUGAAAGAAUUUAGAGGGCCUGUUGCCAGAGAACGCUAAUACCAAAGGGUAAUCUCUUCGAAGAGUCAUUAAAUGGCAAUCAAAGACAACAGAUGUAGAGCUCAAAGGAAGUGAUGGUGACAUGAACUGCUAGGACCCAGUCUACACAUGAACAGUUGGCCAACAGCAAUCUUAAGAUGUAUCCUGAUUUCAGAGAUGUUGAAUGUGCAUCUAAGCAUCAAUUAUAAAAAGUAUUAACAUAGUUAUUGUUACAUAUGGCUGCAGGGAGGAGUUUGGUACACUAAGAAAAUUCAUGGGGCGCCUGGGUCGCUCAGUUGGUUAAGCACCUGCCAUUGGCUUAGGUUGUCAUCCCAGGGUCCUGGGAUCUUGCCCCAAGUUGGGCUCCUGCUAAGUGGGGAGUCAGCUUGCCCUUCUCCCUCAGCCCCCCUCACCCUGUCUGUGCUAUCCCACACAUGGUCUCUCUCAAAUUUUUAAAAAUGAAAGAAAAUUCAGUUGAUAUUGAGAGCAAACUGCAUACAGGGAGAAACUAGGGCUGGACCGGUAUACAAACAAGAGUAUUCUGCGUUCUUUAAUGUUCAAAUAAAAAGCUGUCUUAAUUGGA